rnacentral:sRNA from 1 species
ACUGCUUUUCUUUGAAAUCCCCAAAUUGUGGAGCCCGUUAGUCGAAUGACUAGCGGGUUUUUUUAU